GAUACUGGGUGAGUGUGGUCUGUUGUGACCACCGUUUCAACACACUGUGCAUACGUGAGCAGGAGGAAAACUGCUGAAUGACUUUUUCCUGAUACAAAACAUGCCACACUGGACGAGACUGACCAACAGGCGUGUGACCAAUGCAAUGCUGUGGUGGUGGCUGUGGCUCAUGACAAAGAGAGGGUCGUCAACUGACCAGAAGGUGGAUGGUUCGAUCCCCGGCCCCUUCAGUCUGCACAGGGCUGCCUGGAGAUGACCCGAGGAGAGUCAGCACUACAUACGACAGCACUGUGAGAGGCUUAACAAGAGAAGAGUGCCAUCCUGUGGUUAAGUCAAACAUCACUAAUGACGCUCGUGUUGCCUCAGCCUGAGCAGGACUCAACCUCUCCAGAAGAAACAUGAAACGUCGACUUGGUGACUGAGCGAAUCAUAAACAGUCUCACAGUGUGGACUAAUAGUGGCGCUUUUCUCUUUUCUAGGAGAUGGAAGAAGCCAUUUAAGGAUUUUAAUUAUUUACACUUUUCAUUAUGGCGAUGACUUUCUCAUUUAAAUCAAUAAGGAUAUUCCUGCUGAUUAUAUAAUUGUGCCGAAGACAAUGUGCAACUCAAGAGCCUAAAAGUAAAGAUGGGCCAAUCUUGGCGUGUGUUUGAGUAACUGUUGCUCUAAAACUACUCGACAAACUACACUUUAAAUAGGAAAAUAAAUAAUAUUCUUGAAAGUA